CACCCUAUGAGGAAAGAUCUCCCAAAAUUGAUAGGAAGUGCCGUAUGACACUCUAAACGCAGCGUCAAUUUAAAGAACGCUCUCAUCAUCCACCGAUGAUAAUAUUUUAUCAUCGGUCUUGAUAUCACGCUGCGUGUGUGAUUUGAAACGGGUCUCUGAGGGUU
rnacentral:snoRNA from 1 species